rnacentral:rRNA from 1 species
GCGGCGGACGGGUGAGUAACACGUGGGUAACCUGCCCAUAAGACUGGGAUAACUCCGGGAAACCGGGGCUAAUACCGGAUAAUAUUUUGAACUGCAUGGUUCGAAAUUGAAAGGCGGCUUCGGCUGUCACUUAUGGAUGGACCCGCGUCGCAUUAGCUAGUUGGUGAGGUAACGGCUCACCAAGGCAACGAUGCGUAGCCGACCUGAGAGGGUGAUCGGCCACACUGGGACUGAGACACGGCCCAGACUCCUACGGGAGGCAGCAGUAGGGAAUCUUCCGCAAUGGACGAAAGUCUGACGGAGCAACGCCGCGUGAGUGAUGAAGGCUUUCGGGUCGUAAAACUCUGUUGUUAGGGAAGAACAAGUGCUAGUUGAAUAAGCUGGCACCUUGACGGUACCUAACCAGAAAGCCACGGCUAACUACGUGCCAGCAGCCGCGGUAAUACGUAGGUGGCAAGCGUUAUCCGGAAUUAUUGGGCGUAAAGCGCGCGCAGGUGGUUUCUUAAGUCUGAUGUGAAAGCCCACGGCUCAACCGUGGAGGGUCAUUGGAAACUGGGAGACUUGAGUGCAGAAGAGGAAAGUGGAAUUCCAUGUGUAGCGGUGAAAUGCGUAGAGAUAUGGAGGAA